AGAACCUGCAGUUUGUUUUCUUCCACUACACUGACAAUAACUCUGACAGUAACUUGCGUGUACGAUUGAAGAGUGGCUCUUUUCACUGAAAUUACAUUGCGAUGGAUUUGAUUUCAGAACAGACGAGAGUCGGAUACAAAGAAAUCGCUGAACUGCUAGGAAAACUGACCGAAGAAACAAGCAAACUCGAGGCACACCAAAAGAAGAUGACCGAACACAAUCAUGCGCUCGGAAAUCUUAACAGAUCCUUCAACCAGGCCCAGACUCGCCUGGAGAGAGUGGCCGUAACAAAGUGCGGCAGUGACCUACUGAAACUGUAACCGCCCCGGACGACAGCUGCGCAGCACCGCUUCAUUCACUGAAAUACCGCUUUAUUUUUACUUUGAAACAUCAUGUGAACAAACACAAGCUUUUCAGUUAAUAAUUAC